CCUAGCCUCCAAAGGAAUUGAGAUUUGUGGAAAUCAGCUCUGUGAAUUCUGAGUUUUGGGUUUUUGUUUGGACAUUCUCUUAUGGUUUAUGAGUCAUAAAGGAAUACAUUUCACACAAGCUAGGUUAUAUGCUUAGAUUUUUUUUCUAGAAAGACUCAAAGGAAAAGCUGUUUUUCUAUUUCUUUGAAGCUGGACUUUUGUUUUGAAGAGCUUGAACAGAUAAAACUGUAAGGUCAAGUAACUAAUAGCCCCAGCUCCCAGGGGUGAAAGGCAACCCUUUCCUGUAAAUAUUGAAAGCAUGUUCUGCCGGAGAUCUGUCAGUGCAGCGAUGUGUCAGAAGCUCAGAUCUUGUGAGGAGAUGAAGAACUAUUUUGCUGAUUUAUCCUGACAGCUGUGAAGAUGUCUUGCUGAUCCCAAAGUAUCUAUAUGAGAAUUUUUGUGGAGCUUUAAUAAUGCAAUGGCUGGAACAAGAUAGCUUAUGGGAAGUGAGCUUAGACCUGAGUCCACAUAGACCAAGAUUGGUGCAUCUACUAUU